rnacentral:rRNA from 1 species
GACGAACGCUGGCGGCGUGCUUAACACAUGCAAGUCGAGCGGUAAGGCCCUUUCGGGGGUACACGAGCGGCGAACGGGUGAGUAACACGUGGGUGACCUGCCCUCAGCUCUGGGAUAAGCCUGGGAAACCGGGUCUAAUACCGGAUAUGACUCCAUGACGCAUGUUGUGGGGUGGAAAGCCUUGUGCGGCUGAGGAUGGGCCCGCGGCCUAUCAGCUUGUUGGUGGGGUGAUGGCCUACCAAGGCGACGACGGGUAGCCGGCCUGAGAGGGCGACCGGCCACACUGGGACUGAGACACGGCCCAGACUCCUACGGGAGGCAGCAGGUGGGGAAUCUUGCGCAAUGGGACGAAAGCCUGACGCAGCGACGCCGCGUGA